ACUAUAAAGUAUAAACCCACCACUUUUUCAGUUGCUCCAACACUACCUGCGAAUCUUCAACUAUUUUCUCCAACACUACCUGCGAAUCUUCAACUCUUUAAUGGCGAAAUCUAUCUCCACUUAUCCAAACACGGAUCCGCGCAGCGGAUUCUGCAGCGCCAACUCCACCUUCUACAGCAAGCGCAAGCCAAUCCCUCUCCCUGCCAACCAAUCCCUCGACGUCACCACCUUCAUCUCCUCUCGGGCUCACCACGGCGAGGUCGCCUUCAUCGACGCCGCUAGCGGUCGCAGCCUCACCUUCGCCGAGCUAUGGCGAGCCGUUGACGCCGUCUCCACCUCCCUCUCCUCCGACUUUGGCAUCCGCAAGGGACACGUCAUCCUUCUCCUCACCCCCAACUCCAUCUACUUCCCCAUCGUCUGCCUCGCCGUGAUGUCCCUCGGCGCCAUCAUCACCACCACCAAUCCCCUCAACACCGCCCGAGAGAUCGCCAAACAGAUCGCCGAUUCCAAGCCCUCGCUCGCCUUCACCGUCCCGCAACUCCUCCCCAAACUCGCCGAUUCGAAUCUCCCCAUCGUCCUCCUUGGCGGCGGCGCUCCGAGCUCCAGCAAACUCAGAAUUAUCACGACGAUUGAGGAGAUGAUGAGGAGAGAACCGAGUGCCAGCCGAGUCAGGGAACGAGUCAACCAGGACGACACGGCGACGCUCCUUUACUCCUCCGGUACGACCGGCGCGAGCAAAGGCGUGGUCUCCUCGCACAAAAACCUAAUCGCGAUGGUCCAGACGGUGGUGAGCCGGUUCAAAUUGGAGGACGGAAAGCAGACGUUCAUCUGCACGGUGCCGAUGUUCCACAUCUACGGAUUGGUGGCGUUCGCCACCGGUCUGAUCGCCUCCGGUUCGACGGUGGUGAUCCUCUCAAAAUUCGAGAUGGACGAGAUGUUGAUGGCGAUUCAGAAAUUCUCGGCGACAUACCUGCCGCUAGUGCCGCCGAUUCUAGUGGCGCUGGUGAACCACGCCGACAGCAUAAAGAGGAAGUACGAUCUGAGCAGCCUGCACACGGUGCUCUCCGGCGGCGCUCCGCUGAGUAAGGAGGUGAUAGAGGGGUUCACGGACAAGUACCCUGGGGUCGGGGUGCUGCAGGGGUAUGGACUCACUGAAUCCACGGGGAUCGGAGCUUCCACAGACUCGCAGGAGGAGAGCAGUAGGUACGGGACGGCGGGGCUGCUGUCGCCGAGCAUGGAGGCCAAGAUCGUCAAUCCGGAGACUGGAGCGCCGUUGCCGGUCAACCGCACCGGCGAGCUUUGGCUCAGGGGUCCCUCCAUUAUGAAAGGUUAUUUCAGCAACGAAGAGGCGACAGCUUCAACUCUAGAUUCACAAGGGUGGUUGAGAACUGGAGAUUUAUGCUACAUUGAUGAAGAUGGCUUCAUAUUUGUUGUUGACAGAUUAAAGGAGCUCAUCAAGUACAAGGGUUAUCAGGUCCCUCCUGCAGAACUGGAGGCUUUGUUGCUCACUCAUCCACAAAUAGACGAUUCUGCUGUCAUACCGUUCCCAGAUAAGGAGGCAGGACAAAUUCCAAUGGCAUAUGUGGUGAGGAAAAAAGGAAGCACAAUAACAGAGAGCCAAGUCAUGGAUUUCAUUGCUCAACAGGUGGCUCCAUACAAGAGAAUUCGAAGAGUGGCGUUCGUGGCAUCCGUCCCAAAGAAUCCCUCCGGCAAGAUACUCAGAAAGGAUCUGAUUAAGCUUGCUGUCUCUAAAAUAUAAAUUAGCUCGUUGCAUCAAUAGGAUUACAGGUUUUUGGCAUGGUUUAUAACAGCAAUAAUAUUUUAGGUAAUUAAUUGUAUACCCUGAAACGAACAGGUGGUUUCACCAUCGAAUUGUCCCCUUCUCCUCAGACAAAGUAAACAUUACAUCCUCAUUGCAAUGUACAGCUCAAGAAAAAAAGAAGGUGAAGAAAGAAAGCUCAACUAUAACAGAAAAUUGGAGUUUGCAUGGAAGGUCGAAAUGGAGAGGACUGCCUUGUGUACGUCGCCGUGGAGCAUAGAAAGAAUGAAGUGGACGAAUUCCUUGUCGCAAGGGACGCGCAAGGGGCCGUGAACGGUGAGGCCGUACUCCUCCUCAGCCAUCUCGAGCAGCACUCGAAAAAUGGGGUGGUUUAGAUAGCGCAAGGGCACCAGAAAUCGAGUGUUGUCCUUUGAGUAGACCACAAAAUGGCCUCUUCUUGUCCACUUGCUCACCAUCUUGCUUAGCUUCUUAGAGCUCCCCUCCUUCAUCUUCAUUGGUCGUUUCAGCAUCAAGUACAUUUUUUAAAGGCUGAAUUUUGAAUUAGUGUGGCAACGGUAGUUGGAAGAGGCCAAAAGAAAUGGCGAAGAGAUAAAAGUGGAGAUUGGUUGUGUGUGGAGGUAAUGAAGUAUCUUGUGAAUAAAAAGGCAGAGAUAUUUGAUAUUCAAGAAA